GUUUGUCUGCACAUCAAGUUCCCUAUCCAUCAUGGCUUCCAUGGUGCUCAGUGUGAGCCUGCAGGUGCAUACUGACAUCUCCUGAAGGCGGCCUCCUGACAAGUGUCACACCGGCUGACUGCAUCGGGGAACACCAAGUGUGAAGCACUACAGAGAGCCAAAAUGAAUGGAUUCCCAGGCAAGCACUCUAUCACGGAGCUGCACGCCAAGCCCAAACACUGCCGUGUUCUUGAACAGGAAGUCAAUGAUGCAUCAAAGUGCACACUGCAGACACAAGGUAAAGUGCAUUUCAGGGAACAAAGCACAGGCGGCAGUUGGUUCUCCAUCCUCAGUGAGCCCUGGAGCAAGUGCCCACUGCGAGCCUUCAGUCAUGCCGCUCUGCACGCUCCUGUCUCCAACAAGUGGUGCCAAUGAGUCACACCCCAGGGGGCUGUGGCACCCAUCACCACCAGUGCAGUAUGCUCCUGACGGAUUCUUCUGAGUGCUUUCACUUCUGAAGACUGGGUCAGUCCUGAGAGGCCCACGGAAGAAAGUGACUUUCGAGAAACAGCCCAGGAGAUCAGCUGUCAUUCUUUAUAACCAGAGGAGUGCUGACUGAGUGUGAGGAUCGCCUCAGCAGGGAGACUUCAUCUUAGGCUCAUCUUAAAACUCCCUCUGAACAAAGGGGAAUCAGAACUCACAACUGCACUUACAGUUCUGGCCCUAGGGCUCUCAAAGCUGCUUCUGGUAAAGGAAGACUGUUCCCAGCUUGUCUAGCAGGAGACUCAAGGUCAGUCAGUGUCUUCCAGAACUCCCUCAUACAGCAAGAGAAGGGUGGGCACAACCCACAUUUUCUAAAAUUCAGACAUGGCACGGUGAGUUGGGCAUUAGCUGUGUGGUAAUUGAUUUUGUUACCACAGGCUCCAACAGCGGGCCGGGCACACUGUGGUGGGCUAGGGUCAGCGCCUUCUGUUUGCUUUUAACAUCCACAGCACUGGCUGUGCACGCUUCGCAUGCACCAUACCACCGAGCUACACCUCUGGUCCUGAUACUGUUUCUGUUUUAGAUUUUACUAUUACAUUGAUUUGUGUUUGGGCAGGGAUUCCCAUGUGCCAUAGUUCAUGUGUGGAGGUAAGAGGACAGGUAGUGAGAGCUCUGUUCUCUGCUUGUACCCCUCAGACUGCCAGGUAUAAUGGCAAGCAUCUUGACCUGGCGAGCUGUCUCUCAGCCCCAACACUAUUUUUGAUGAGAGGCUCUGGCACGUCUUUCUAAAACGCUAAGAACAGGCUUUGCCUCCAUUAGCUGACCACCUGAAAAGGGUGGAAAAAACCUAUCUCCAACCCUUCCUCCGACUCCCUGGCUUUUAAUCUACAAUUCUAGGACAUCUACGUCUUUAGAGCAAGGUGUGUGGGGGCUAAGGUUAGGCAUUCCCAUCAAAAGGCAUCUUUGAUGUUCUUGAGCUGGCGCACGGCCAAGUCUACAGGAAGGCUGAACUUGAGGCUGCUAAGGCGGCUGAGCAGGUUGAGGGCACUCUCAAAACCUGUGUGGGCCAUGUAGCUCCAGGGCUGGUAAUGGGGCUCGAUGAGGGACCCUGACUUGCAGAUGAGGUUCACCCAGGACACCAGGCGCUGCUCAUUCAGUGCCAUGCACACCAACGCCUUCAGUUCUGAGUCAGCGCUGCGCUUGAAAGGGUCAUGCUCUGUCAGCACCAGGUGGAUGGCUGUCAGAAGGCUCUGUUUGGGGGUCACAGCAGUGUCACCCAUUAUAGGCAGAGCAAAGGACUGUGAGAGCUUCCGGGCCGGGGAUUCCACAUAUGCACGGCCAUUCUUGGCAUGGUAGUACUUUACAAAGAGCUCCCAUGGGUGCAUGGUCUCGGGGGCUGAGGAGAAAACUGGCAACAAGCAAGCAAGGGGGGCCAUGACAAGGCUCAUCCCAGAGGAGGAGGCAUACAGUCCAUGGGCCAGCAGGUCCCUCACAGCCACUGUCAGCUCCUUCCGCACAACCGUGGUCAGCUCAUCCUUGCCUCCCAGAGAGAGGUCCUGGAGGUUGGCCGAAGUGAUGACGUGGUCAUGUGGCUGAUGUCUCAAGGCUAGCUGCUUUACUCUGUCGACCGAUACUUCCAGUCUUUUCAGUAAGUGGGAGUAGUCUCUGUCUGCCUGGCUCCUCUGCCACAAGGUUUGAGGGAUCUGGCCCGUGGCACAGCCCAGCUGGCUAACAGUGAAGAUCUGGAGCACAGCCAGCGCUCGCCGCAUCAGGUGCAGCCCCGUCUCCCGGGCUCUCUUGGCAUCUUCUGCCUUUGCUGCUUAGAAAACAGCGAGUGACUCAUUAGAAAGAGGUCAAAGUGACACAGGACAUUCAACACAUCACAAGCUGUGAGCAAUCCUUGCCUCUGUGCACAGUACAGGUGUCAUAUGAAGGCCAGGAUGCAACUGGACUGGCUUAUCUUCACCUGUAAUACUAGCUAUAACUGAGAUACUGUGUAGCUCAUUAUUUUCUAAUAUACAAUUCAGCUCUUGUUCUUUUCAAACAGGAUCUUGCCAUCAUGGCAGUCCUCACCCCCCAGCUUCUCUAUUGCUGGGAUUUCAGGCAGGCAUACCAUGUCCAGAUUUGCCUCAAACUAUCUUCUGCCUCUUCCUGCCUCCAUUUCUGAAGUGGUAGGAUUACAGGUGUAUGCCAACAAGCUCAGCUUCUUUUUUUUUCUCCCCAGCUCAGGAUUAAACCCAGGGCUCUAGGAACCCAUCUACACUAGGCAUGUACUAGCCACAUCUCCUAGAUCUGGUCAUUUCAAAAUUAUACUUAGGAGCUGAUCAUCCGGGGCUGGUGAGAUGGCUCAGUGGUUAAGAACACUGACUGCUCUCACAACCAUCUGUAAUGGGAUCUGAUGCCCUUUUCUGGUGUGUCUGAAGACAGCUACAGUGUACUUAUUUAUAAUAAUAAAUAAAUCUUUGGGACUGAGCAAGCAGGGUUGGGCAGAGCAAGCAGAGGUCCUAAAUUCAAUUCCCAACAACCAGAUGAAGGCUCACAACCAUCUGUACAGCUACAGUGUACUCAUAUACAUAAAAUAAAUAAAUCUUAAAAAAAAAAAAGCUGUCCAUCCAUUACCACGAUCCACAUUUAUCAUCCCCAAAAGACAUCCUGGGCCAUAUCAUUUCCUCUCUCCCAUUUCUUCCCAAGACCCAAGCAAUCAUUAAUUUUAAUCUCUCUCUCCGAAAACACCUAUAAUCCUACCUCUUUGUGUGAGAGAGAGAAUGUGAGUGUGAGUAUGCAUGUGUGUGUGUGUGUGUGUACACCCACAUGUGCAAAUACUCCUAAGGUUAUAAGGUCAGAGGACAACCCAAGAAAGUCUGUUCUCUCCUUCUACCAUGUAAGUCCCUGGGAACCAACUCAUGUCCUCAGGCUUGGCAGCAAGUGCCAACACCUGCUGAGACAAUCUCACUGUCCCUUCCUUUUGCCAGACAGGCUCUCAAUAUGUAGUUCAGAUUGGCCUUGAACUCUUGAUUCACCUUGCACUUUCUGCUUUUGUAGCCUGUGCGUUCCAGGAGCCAUACUUACCUUUGCCGGGUCCUGGGGGCAGUGUACUGCCACCCACCCUGGUGGAGCCGAUUCCCACCUUCCCGCUGGCUUGGCACUCACAGUGUCCACCUGUCUGCAGGGGGCUUCCCACUUCAUCUGUCGUCAGAAGUUACAAAAGCAAGACAUGUAUUUAUCCCCCUCACAGUAGAUUUUUACAGGAAAAAUAAAGUUAAUGGUGUCUACUCCAUGAUCAGAAUGCUAUAAAUUAUUGUGCUUCCCUGUGUGAGAGGUGCCUGGUGCAGCACAGCUGGCUCAAUAAUAUUUGCUAAGUAGGCGAGGAGUGGAUCAUCCCCAGUAAGACUAACGGGGAGAAAUCUGCUCAAGGCCAUGAGGCCAGCGGUGGUCCUGAAGCACCUUCAGAUCAUGUUCUUUCCAUCCUACUGUGGCAUACCUGAGAGGUCUUACUAGGUAGGCCAGCCUGGAACUCACACUAUAUAACAGGCUGACCUAGAACUGAAUUCUGCCAGCCUCUGCCUCUCUGAAUUCAAGGAUUAAGGGCAUGUACCACCAUACCCACUUCAAGUCUCUUAAACACAGUAGGAACUGGCCCCUGAGAUAGACGUUCUCAGUCCACACAGAACCGCCACACUGUCUGUCUGUCUUUGCCUCCUCCUCCCAGACGCUCCCUGACCUUGGAUGAAGCUGAUGAACAUCUCAAGGUCCCGGAUCUGGGUUUUCAGCUGCUCCACCAGCUGCUCUUUCACCCGCACUGGGUUGACAAUCUGAGCCACUGCUGCGUCCACACGUUGACGAAGCUCCUCAGUGGAAAGGGAACUGAUGUCCUCAUUCAGAUUCAUGUCCAGUUUCUUUAUUAACUCAUCGAUGAUCACCUAUCAAGACCACAGCAAUGAGUGUACCCUUUGCAGUUCUCAGCAGAGGGCAUGGAGUGGGGGAGGGAGAAUCUUAGAAGGUUCUGUGCUCAAAGGGAAAGAAAACUUGCACAGACCUCCCUCCCACUUCAAGAGAAACUGAUGUAGCUGCUGAUUAAGACAGAGCCUGAGAGAUGGCUCAGCAGAUAAAAGAGCCUGUUAUAUAAACCCAGUGACCUGAGUUAGACCUCAGAGCCCA
rnacentral:lncRNA from 1 species